AGCGGCGAAAGGGAGAGUAAUACAUAGGUACCUACCCCCGGGUCUGGGAUAGCGGCGGGAAACUGCCGGUAAUACCAGAUAAUGUCUCCGGACCAAAGGUGUGAUUCCNCCUGGGGAGGGGCCUGUGGCCUAUUAGCUUGUUGGCGAGGUAACGGCUCACCAAGGCAAAGAUGGGUAUGGGGCGUGAGAGCGUGCCCCCACUCACUGGGACUGAGAUACUGCCCAGACACCUACGGGUGGCUGCAGUCGAGAAUCUUCGGCAAUGGGCGCAAGCCUGACCGAGCGACACCGCGUGCGGGAUGAAGGCCUUCGGGUUGUAAACCGCUGUCGUAGGGGAGGAAGGUCUUGCGAAGAGCAAGGCUUGACCGAUCCUAGGAGGAAGGGCCGGCUAAUCUCGUGCCAGCAGCCGCGGUAAUACGAGAGGCCCAAACGUUAUUCGGAUUUACUGGGCUUAAAGAGUUCGUAGGCGGCUUGGAAAGUGGGGUGUGAAAGCCCUCGGCCCAACCGAGGAAUUGCGCUCCAAACUGCCGAGCUUGAGGAAGCUAGAGGUGAGCAGAACUGAUGGUGGAGCGGUGAAAUGCGUUGAUAUCAUCAGGAAUACCGGAGGCGAAGGCGGCUCACUGGGACUUUUCUGACGCUGAGGAACGAAAGCUAGGGGAGCAAACGGGAUUAGAUACCCCGGUAGUCCUAGCCGUAAACGGUGAGCACUGGACCGAGGG
rnacentral:rRNA from 1 species